CCUACGGGUGGCUGCAGUCGAGGAUCUUCGGCAAUGGGCGCAAGCCUGACCGAGCGACGCCGCGUGUGGGAUGAAGGCCUUCGGGUUGUAAACCACUGUCUGGGGACGGCCCGAUCCUAGGAGGAAGUCCAGGCUAACCUCGUGCCAGCAGCCGCGGUAAUACGAGGUGGACAAACGUUAUUCGGAUUUACUGGGCUUAAAGCGUGCGUAGGCGGCUCAGAAAGUUGGGUGUGAAAGCCCUCGGCUCAACCGAGGAAUUGCGCUCAAAACUACUGAGCUUGAGGGAGAUAGGGGAGAGCGGAACUGAUGGUGGAGCGGUGAAAUGCGUUGAUAUCAUCAGGAACACCGGUGGCGAAGGCGGCUCUCUGGAUCUUCUGACGCUGAGGCACGAAAGCUAGGGGAGCAAACGGGAUUAGAUACCCUUGUAGUC
rnacentral:rRNA from 1 species